AUUUUCGGCAAUGGGCGCAAGCCUGACCGAGCAACGCCGCGUGAAGGAUGAAGGCCUUCGGGUCGUAAACUUUUGUCUUUGGGGACGAUAAUGACGGUACCCAAGGAGGAAGCCCCGGCUAACUACGUGCCAGCAGCCGCGGUAAUACGUAGGGUGCAAGCGUUAAUCGGAAUUACUGGGCGUAAAGCGUGCGCAGGCGGUUCGGCAAGAAGGAUGUGAAAUCCCAGGGCUUAACCUUGGAACUGCAUUCUUAACUGCCGGGCUAGAGUAUGUCAGAGGGGGGUAGAAUUCCGCGUGUAGCAGUGAAAUGCGUAGAGAUGCGGAGGAAUACCGAUGGCGAAGGCAGCCCCCUGGGAUAAUACUGACGCUCAUGCACGAAAGCGUGGGGAGCAAAC
rnacentral:rRNA from 1 species